rnacentral:tRNA from 1 species
GAGCCCCUGGCUCAAUGGUAGAGCAUUCGACCCAAUAACCAAAGGUCAUGGGUUCGAAUCCCAGGUGGUCCA